UACGUAGGGUGCGAGCGUUGUCCGGAAUUACUGGGCGUAAAGAGCUCGUAGGUGGUUUGUCGCGUUGUUCGUGAAAACCGGGGGCUUAACCCUCGGCGUGCGGGCGAUACGGGCAGACUGGAGUACUGGAGAGGAAACUGGAAUUUACGGUGUAGCAGUGAAAUGCGUAGAGAUCGUAAGGAAGACCAGUGGCGAAGGCGAGUUUCUGGACAGUUACUGACGCUGAGGCACGAAGGCCAGGGGAGCAAACGGG
rnacentral:rRNA from 1 species